rnacentral:rRNA from 1 species
CGACUGCAGAAGAAGCCGGUGAGCUAACCUUCGGGAGGCAGCCGUCCACUCUGUGAUUGGUAAUUGGGGUGAAGUCGUAACAAGGUAGCCGUAGGUGAACCUGCAGAAGGAUCA